rnacentral:rRNA from 1 species
GACGAACGCUGUCGGCGUGCUUAACACAUGCAAGUCGAACGGAAAGGCCCUGCUUUUGUGGGGUGCUCGAGUGGCGAACGGGUGAGUAACACGUGAGUAACCUGCCCUUGACUUUGGGAUAACUUCAGGAAACUGGGGCUAAUACCGGAUAGGAGCUCCUGCUGCAUGGUGGGGGUUGGAAAGUUUCGGCGGUUGGGGAUGGACUCGCGGCUUAUCAGCUUGUUGGUGGGGUAGUGGCUUACCAAGGCUUUGACGGGUAGCCGGCCUGAGAGGGUGACCGGCCACAUUGGGACUGAGAUACGGCCCAGACUCCUACGGGAGGCAGCAGUGGGGAAUAUUGCACAAUGGGCGGAAGCCUGAUGCAGCAACGCCGCGUGCGGGAUGACGGCCUUCGGGUUGUAAACCGCUUUCGCCUGUGACGAAGCGUGAGUGACGGUAAUGGGUAAAGAAGCACCGGCUAACUACGUGCCAGCAGCCGCGGUGAUACGUAGGGUGCGAGCGUUGUCCGGAUUUAUUGGGCGUAAAGGGCUCGUAGGUGGUUGAUCGCGUCGGAAGUGUAAUCUUGGGGCUUAACCCUGAGCGUGCUUUCGAUACGGGGUGACUUGAGGAAGGGUAGGGGAGAAUGGAAUUCCCUGGUGGAGCGGUGGAAUGCGCAGAUAUCAGGAGGAACAACCAGUGGCGAAGGGCGGUUCUCUGGCCCUUUCCUGACGCUGAGGAGCGAAAGCGUGGGGAGCGAACAGGCUUAGAUACCCUGGUAGUCCACGCUGUAAACGGUGGGUACUAGUGUGGGGGUCCAUUCCACGGGUUCCGUGCCGUAGCUAACGCUUUAAGUACCCCGCCUGGGGAGUACGGCCGCAAGGCUAAAACUCAAAGGAAUUGACGGGGCCCCGCACAAGCGGCGGAGCAUGCGGAUUAAUUCGAUGCAACGCGUAGAACCUUACCUGGGUUUGACAUGGAUCGGGAGUGCUCAGAGAUGGGUGUGCCUCUUUUGGGGUCGGUUCACAGGUGGUGCAUGCCUGUCGUCAGCUCGUGUCGUGAGAUGUUGGGUUAAGUCCCGCAACGAGCGCAACCCUUGUUCACUGUUGCCAGCACGUUAUGGUGGGGACUCAGUGGAGACCGCCGAGGUCAACUCGGAGGAAGGUGGGGAUGACGUCAAGUCAUCAUGCCCCUUAUGUCCAGGGCUUCACGCAUGCUACAAUGGCUGGUACAGAGAGUGGCGAGCCUGUGAGGGUGAGCGAAUCUCGGAAAGCCGGUCUCAGUUCGGAUUGGGGUCUGCAACUCGACCUCAUGAAGUCGGAGUCGCUAGUAAUCGCAGAUCAGCAACGCUGCGGUGAAUACGUUCCCGGG